CAGCAGCCGCGGUAAUACGUAGGUGGCAAGCGUUGUCCGGAAUUAUUGGGCGUAAAGCGCGCGCAGGCGGAUCAGUCAGUCUGUCUUAAAAGUUCGGGGCUUAACCCCGUGAUGGGAUGGAAACUGCUGAUCUAGAGUAUCGGAGAGGAAAGUGGGAUUCCUAGUGUAGCGGUGAAAUGCGUAGAUAUUAGGAAGAACACCAGUGGCGAAGGUGACUUUCUGGACGAAAACUGACGCUGAGGCGCGAAAGCCAGGGGAGCGAACGGGAUUAGAUACCCCCGUAGUCCCUGUCUCUUAUACC
rnacentral:rRNA from 1 species